rnacentral:rRNA from 1 species
UUGACCGUGCAAAGGUAGCGCAAUCACUUGUCUUUUAAAUAGAGACCUGUAUGAAUGGCUAAACGAGGGCUUAACUGUCUCCCCUUUCCAGUCAGUGAAAUUGAUCUGCCCGUGCAGAAGCGGACAUAAAAAUACAAGACGAGAAGACCCUUUGGAGCUUAAGGUACAAAACUCAACCACGUCAAGCAACUUAACAAAAAGCAAAAACCUUGUGGAACAUGAGAUUUUACCUUCGGUUGGGGCGACCACGGAGGAAAACAAAGCCUCCAAGUGGAUUGGGAAAACCUCCUAAAACUAAGAGAGACAUCUCUAAGCCACAGAACAUCUGACCAAACAUGAUCCGGCUACCCAAAGCCGAUCAACGAACCAAGUUACCCUAGGGAUAACAGCGCAAUCCUCUCCCAGAGUCCAUAUCGACGAGAGGGUUUACGACCUCGAUGUUGGAUCAGGACAUCCUAAUGGUGCAGCCGCUA